GGGUUAAGUCCCGUUCCGGAGGGCAAUCCUUGUCCUUAGGUUCCAGCCCGUUAAGGGGGGCACUCUAAGGAGAUGUCCGGUGACAAACCGGAGGAAGGUGGGGAUGACGUCAAGUCAUCAUGGCCCUUACGGCCUGGGCUACACACGUGCUACAAUGGUCGGUCCAAAGGGUUGCCAAGCCGCGAGGUGGAGCUAAUCCCAUAAAACCGAUCGUAGUCCGGAUCGCAGUCUGCAACUCGACUGCGUGAAGUCGGAAUCGUUAGUAAUCGUGAAUCAGAAUGUCACGGUGAAUACGUUCCCGGGCCUUGUACACACCGCCCGUCACACCAUGGGAGUGGGUUGCUCCAGAAGUAGUUGGUCUAACCUCGGGAGGCCGGCUUACGACGAUGUGGUUCCGCACG
rnacentral:rRNA from 1 species